rnacentral:lncRNA from 1 species
UCAAGCCAUGCCCUUCCCUUUUGCAAGCUCCCGUGGCUCGCGACCCGCAGCCCACCCCUGCACCAGUGGACACUGCGGGAUGGCCUGGCCUCGGCUCUGCAUUUUCACUUCUCUUAGCUCUCAUCUCCUCCACCACAGAGACAGCUCUGUCUGAGUAUCUUUCUGAUACUGUUCUUUAUCCCCCAGGACUGGCCCAGCCCAGGGCGGUGCGUACAGCAGACACUUAAUGUAACACAGUAGCAGCUUUUAAUUUCUCAGGCCAAUGAGAUACAGACAGUCACUGGUAUGGUAGUUUUUCAGUCAAGCAUCAAGGGAAGAACUUAUUAGUUUGAAUUACAAACAACAGAAGUAGAAAACUCCACAAGGAAAAAUCUCAGCUGGUGAAGAAGCUCAGGAGCUCACAGAAGUGUGAUGAAGUAAUCAAACCAUCGCCAUCGGCUAAGGAAACCGAGGGGUGCAGAGCUGAUGUCGCUUGGCCCGCAAGCCACGGAGAGUGGGAGCAAGAGGAGGUUUGGUCAGGCUGCCUCUGCCCCUGUCUUUCUCGGCCCACAGGCUCCAAGCAGGCAGGACCAGACCGCAGCUUCCAGGUGCUGGGAUCCGGGGACCACACCUUCACCUGCUGCUCUCUUGAAGGAAAAACAAAUAUCUGCCUCUGGCAGGUAAAAAAAAAAUAAAAGGAGUGCGUCUCA